GUGUGUUUUUUUAUUAUUUCUUUAUUAGUGCAUUAUAUUUGAACAAAAUUUAUGCAUAUUUCAACCUUUUAGGCUUCGUAUUUACAUACCUAUAAUUGUUUUGUCGCUGCAUAUAAUCUGUGGUUUAGUGAUGACCAAAAAAACUGGUAAUCCGGAAAGCUCUUCUUUCUUUUAAUCGGUUUCUUAUAUUCAUGUUUAAUUGAUUAAACAUUGUCUAAUGUACAUCCAAUUCCACACUGCUGCAAAAUUUGCAGUAAAACUACUAAAUUUGAAUGAUCCAAUUUGCUCA